UACGAAGGGGGCUAGCGUUGCUCGGAAUCACUGGGCGUAAAGAGCUUGUAGGCGGUCUGUCGCGUCUGCUGUGAAAAUCCGGGGCUCAACCCCGGACUUGCAGUGGGUACGGGCAGACUAGAGUGUGGUAGGGGAGACUGGAAUUCCUGGUGUAGCGGUGAAAUGCGCAGAUAUCAGGAGGAACACCGAUGGCGAAGGCAGCUCGCUGGGACGGUACUGACGCUGAGACGCGAAAGUGUGGGGAGCAAACAGG
rnacentral:rRNA from 1 species